rnacentral:piRNA from 1 species
UGGAGCAUGAAGAGUUAAUGGAGCACUGU